rnacentral:lncRNA from 1 species
UGCCAUUCGGUGUCGUGUUAUCUUGAAAUAUAAGUACACAGUUUUGGAUUAUGAAGAAAAAUUGCCCACUUAGAGGGGAACACGAAACUGCAUUGAAAAUGAAAAAAAAUCUGGAGCAAAAUUAAACAUACAAAUCUAUGCCCAGUCCCACUAGACCACGAUCGCACCACGCUCACCACGAUCUGAAAUAAAUAAAGAUCGUGGUGAGGUCGCGGUAUGAGCGGCAUGAAAAUGUAAAUUUUCGUUGCUUUCACGAUGCUACUACGUCCUCAUUACGCUUCUACAACGAUCCCGCUACGAUUAUACCACGUUCUCACAGCGCUUAUUCUGCGACCUCACUACGCUUAUCAAGAUCUGUCUACGCUCAUCACGUUCUCACUACGACCGUACCACGAGUCAUCCGAUUGCAACACGAUCUUACCACGCUUCUUCUGCGAUUAUAGCACGUUCUUACCACGAUUUUACCGCGAUCUAUUCUACGCUCUCAGCAAUAACGUCAACAUCGUGUUCCAUAUGAAUACAGUUCCAUUCCUUCUAUUUCUGAUUAAUACGUUUUCUCGAAAACAAUAGUCAUGCCACCAAAAUCUACUAGAACACGUGGACGUGGUGGUAGGGGUUGAUGUAGAGGCAGAGGGAGCUCUGAUAGUAACGAAUCUUGAUCAAGUAGUUAUGUCGGACCGACCAAUCCGACGUAAAUUAAAACCUAUUGCUGGUCUAUAAAGCUGAAUUUACGAUAUUUUAGUGAACGAUAGCAGAGAUGACACAGAUGUGUCAAUAGAUAUAGGAAGAUGUGGUAUGAGUCAAUGAGACAACUCUCCAUCGCCAAGUAACUAUUUUUAAAAGUAAACCAUUAUAGGCCAAGGAACGGCCUUCAACACGGAGCCUUGGCUCACACCGAACAGCAAGCUAUAAAGGGUCUCCAAAAUUACUAGUGUAAAACCAUAAAAACGGGAAAAUCAACGGUUUAAUCUAUAUGAAAACGAGAAGCAUGGCUGAGCCGUAGGACAAAAUGAACAAGAAGUCCCAAUUACAUACAGACAAACAAAACCUUAAGAUAUUUAAUAUAUUUAAUGUGAAAAUGACAAUGAGAAUGAUGAUCGUAGUAUGAACGUAGUCAGGUCGUAAGAAGAGCGUGAUGACGACGGCAAGGGCGUGCUAGAAUCGUACUAUGGUCGUGAAUAGCGUGGUAUAGUCGUAGUGGAGAGUAAUUGGGUCGCGAUGAGAACGUGAUGGUCGUAGUGAGGUCGUAAUAACGUCGCAAUGAGAUCGUAGCGCAGUUUCUCCGAAUAGAAUCACGCUCUCGCUACGAUGGUACAGCGACCUUUGCGAUCUUACUACGAUCUUAGUGCGCUCUCACUACGCUUCUACUACGAUCUGAUUUCGCCACGACCGCACCACGAUUGUUUUGAACAUGUUCAAAGUUAGCCACGCUCAUCACGAUCUUGAAGACCUCACCACGACCGUGAUACGACCUUACUGCGAUCUACACGAUCGUACUACGAUCAUCAAAAUUUGCAUUUUUUUCACAGAUCGUAGUGCGAUCGUGGCCUAGUGGGACUGGGGUAUUAGAAAAAGACACUACUUUUAAAAAAGAAAAAAAAUAACAUUAAGAGAUACAAUCAUAAUAAUUAAGUGAAAUAAAAAAAGACGUAGAUAACUAGAAUGGCAUCUUCUAUGAGGGUGUGGAUGGAGUUUUACAGAAUAGAGAAUAAUGGGCUAAAAAAAAAGAAUAGAAAAGAAAAGGAUAGGCCAAAAAUUUAAGAAUAGAGAAUAGUGGGCUUCUUGAAUAUAAAAAAGAGAAUAAUGGGCAAAAUUUAUAUAGAAUAGAGAAAAAAUGGCGUAAAUAAUAUUAAGAAUUGAAGAACACCCACCUCUCUCCUUUUCCAGACCCUCUUUUAUCCUAUGACUGUUAACAAACAUAUAUAUAUAUACAAUGCUAGGCGGUGUUGUCGUAGAAGUUAGAAAAAAAGUACAGGUUCCAGCCCCGGCGCCGGGGAGGAAGUUACGAAUCAAAUCUACUCUAACAUCGGUAGGUUGAUUUUCUAGGCACUUUAUA